rnacentral:tRNA from 1 species
GCGCCCGUAGCUCAGCGGAUAGAGUGACGGACUACGAAUCCGGAGGCCGCAGGUUCAAAUCCUGCCGGGCGCACCA